UUCACAUCAUUCUCCUUUCAGUGUUGAGCACUAUUCUGGAAGAAAGCUUCAGACUGCAGAUCACGGACACUCCCUCUGGCUGCAGCUGGCUCCCCAAGUUUGACCAGAGGAGGUACAACUCACCCCUUAGGACAGAUAACCUGUAACUUAUCUGGACAUGAAGGUCUAUGAUAAGACAAUUGGAUAUGGUACCUUCUGCAUCCCUCCUGCCCCUUCCAGGACCUGUUCACAUUGACAUCUUGGGACAUAUUCACUACUCAGUUGACUCCAGAAAUAACACACAUUGCCUGUGCAUGAGGUGCAUGACUUUGCUUUUUCCAAGAGUCCUGCAUUUCCAUGGAAACCAGAGAGGCAGAAAACAAAGGAUAAGUACAAAACAUCUCUGAGCUUUUAGAAACAAAGCUGAAUCCAGACCAACUGCCUCAUCUGAAUUCAGCCUGUGAAAACCAUAAACCACUCUGACCUCUUACUGCUGAAGGAAGACAUGCUCCCUGCUGGCAUCCUUCCAUGAGAAACACAUCUCUUUCUCACAUUGGACAUAUUUUAAAGGCAAGAAAGGCAGGAUUUGAGAUU
rnacentral:lncRNA from 10 species